rnacentral:rRNA from 1 species
GAUGAACGCUGGCGGCGUGCCUAAUACAUGCAAGUCGAGCGAACAGACGAGGAGCUUGCUCCUCUGACGUUAGCGGCGGACGGGUGAGUAACACGUGGAUAACCUACCUAUAAGACUGGGAUAACUUCGGGAAACCGGAGCUAAUACCGGAUAAUAUAUUGAACCGCAUGGUUCAAUAGUGAAAGACGGUUUUGCUGUCACUUAUAGAUGGAUCCGCGCCGCAUUAGCUAGUUGGUAAGGUAACGGCUUACCAAGGCAACGAUGCGUAGCCGACCUGAGAGGGUGAUCGGCCACAUUGGAACUGAGACACGGUCCAGACUCCUACGGGAGGCAGCAGUAGGGAAUCUUCCGCAAUGGGCGAAAGCUUGACGGAGCAACGCCGCGUGAGUGAUGAAGGUCUUCGGAUCGUAAAACUCUGUUAUUAGGGAAGAACAAAUGUGUAAGUAACUAUGCACGUCUUGACGGUACCUAAUCAGAAAGCCACGGCUAACUACGUG